UGGCAUGGGGGCUCUGCCGCUGCCGGGUUAGAGUCUGUUUAAAUUUAUAAAGUUUAAACAUUAUACUCCGGCGGAGGAAAGUCCGGGCAACACAGAGCACCGUGUUUCCUAACAGGAAGAUGUUCGUGAGGGCAUAGUAACGUAACAGAGAAUAACCGCCUCUCGGUUCGCCGAGGGGUAAGGGUGAAAAGGUAGGGUAAGAGCCUACCGGCGGUUGUGGCAACACAAUCGGCCGUACGUCUCACGGGUUGCAAGACCAUGUACACCGGCAUAUAAGGGUUGCUCGCCCUUUGUCGGGGGGUAGGUCGCUCGAUCGGCGGAGUGAUCCGUCGGCCAGAUAAAUGGCAGAGGCUUUUGGCUCACCGCCAAACAGCACAGAACCCGGCUUAUACUCCAUGCCCAACC
rnacentral:RNase_P_RNA from 1 species